rnacentral:rRNA from 1 species
UACGGGGGGAGCAAGCGUUGUUCGGAUUUACUGGGCGUAAAGGGCGCGUAGGCGGCCAGCACAAGUCAGUUGUGAAAUCUCCGAGCUUAACUCGGAAAGGUCAACUGAUACUGUGCGGCUAGAGUGCGGAAGGGGCAACUGGAAUUCUUGGUGUAGCGGUGAAAUGCGCAGAUAUCAGGAAGAACACCGAUGGCGAAGGCAGCUCUCUGGGACGGUACUGACGCUGAGACGCGAAAGCGUGGGGAGCGAACAGG